rfam:Aeromonas hydrophila subsp. hydrophila ATCC 7966, complete genome.
UAUUGGUUCCCCCUCUUAUUCGCUGAGGCGAGUACGCUUGUCCAGGUCGCGAGACAGGAUGUCGAGCGAGUGGCGCCGGGCCAUGGAUGGCCCGUCGGCGCGUGCCGUCGGACAUGCGGGUGAGACGAAGUCGGGCGAAUAAGCGGGGGAGAAGACC